rnacentral:rRNA from 1 species
CCUACGGGAGGCAGCAGUAGGGAAUCUUCCACAAUGGGCGAAAGCCUGAUGGAGCAACGCCGCGUGGGUGAAGAAGGUCUUCGGAUCGUAAAACCCUGUUGUUAGAGAAGAAAGUGCGUGAGAGUAACUGUUCACGUUUCGACGGUAUCUAACCAGAAAGCCACGGCUAACUCCGUGCCAGCAGCCGCGGUAAUACGUAGGUGGCAAGCGUUAUCCGGAUUUAUUGGGCGUAAAGGGAACGCAGGCGGUCUUUUAAGUCUGAUGUGAAAGCCUUCGGCUUAACCGGAGUAGUGCAUUGGAAACUGGGCGACUAGAGUGCAGAAGAGGAGAGUGGAACUCCAUGUGUAGCGGUGAAAUGCGUAGAGAUAUGGAAGAACACCAGUGGCGAAAGCGGCUCUCUGGUCUGUAACUGACGCUGAGGUUCGAAAGCGUGGGUAGCAAACAGGAUUAGAUACCCUGGUAGUC